rnacentral:rRNA from 1 species
CCCUUAGAUGUUCUGGGCCGCACGCGUGCUACACUGACCGGCGCAACAAGCUUUUUUCCUUGGCUCGACAGGCCUGGGUAAUCUUCGAACGCCGGUCGUGAUGGGGAUAGAUCCUUGCAAUUUUUGAUCUUCAACGAGGAAUUCCUAGUAAAUGCGAGUCAUCAUCUCGCGUUGAUUACGUCCCUGCCCUUUGUACACACCGCCCGUCGCACCUACCGAUUGAAUGGUCCGGUGAAGCCUCCGGAUUGCGCAGGCCCCGUGUCUGGCGCGAGAAGUUGGCUAAACCUUACCAUUUAGAGGAAGGUGAAGUCGUAACA